AGUGAUUGUAGCCAGACACAGGUGUAGACCAAUUGUCCCAAUACCCAGGAGACUGAGACAGGAGGACUGCCACAAGAUCUAGGCCCUCCUGAGCUAUAGUGGAAAAAUCCAGAAGGAUGGUUGGCUGUUGAAACUGUCCCAUCAGGAAAGCUGCCUUUAAAUCCGAUGGGAUUUGUAGGACCCUGGGUCUGAUUGAGGUGUCUGUCCCCAAGUCCCUUGUCCCAGUGCAGCAGUGAUACCAGUUCCAAGCUGUGGCUUGAGAUCAGGUAUCAUUGUAGGGUGGAGGGGUGUGAGCUCUGGGCAAAUAGAGAGUGGGCGCCCCUCUCCCAUAGGUGCUGGCUCAGCAGGGUGAAUACAGUGAGGCCAUCCCCAUCCUGAGGGCGGCCCUGAAGCUGGAGCCUUCCAACAAGACGAUCCAUGCGGAGCUCUCAAAGCUGGUAAAGAAGCGUGCUGCACAGCGGAGCACAGAGACUGCCCUGUACCGAAAGAUGCUAGGCAACCCCAGCCGGCUGCCUGCCAAGUGUCCGGGCAAGGGUGCCUGGGUAAGCCUGAGUGGGGUUGGGCGGGGCUGGAGGGGGAUACUGGGAACAUUAGCCCAGGCAGAAGAUGGGACUCUCUGGACCUGCAGGUUGGAGGCUCAGGCAGAGGCAGAAAGAAAAUCCACUGGAGGAGUGGGUAUUUGGUUUAGGCUUGGGUGUGCAUGGUACAAACACUUGCUAGGAGGCUGCUUGGCUCAUAGUAGUUGCUUUGGCUAUGCAGCCAG
rnacentral:lncRNA from 1 species